UACGGAGGGUGCGAGCGUUGUCCGGAAUUACUGGGCGUAAAGCGCACGUAGGCGGAUCAGUCAGUCAGGGGUGAAAUCCCGGGGCUCAACCCCGGAACUGCCUUUGAUACUGCUGGUCUUGAGGUCGAGAGAGGUGAGUGGAAUUCCGAGUGUAGAGGUGAAAUUCGUAGAUAUUCGGAGGAACACCAGUGGCGAAGGCGGCUCACUGGCUCGAUACUGACGCUGAGGUGCGAAAGCGUGGGGAGCAAACAGG
rnacentral:rRNA from 1 species